rnacentral:tRNA from 1 species
GGAAAGGUGACUGAGUGGUUUAAAGUGAAGAUCUGCUAAAUCUUUGUAUAUCUAUGUUAAAUAUACCGUGGGUUCAAAUCCCACUCUUUCCU